AGCGAACGCUGGCGGCAGGCCUAACACAUGCAAGUCGAACGAACUCUUCGGAGUUAGUGGCGGACGGGUGAGUAACACGUGGGAACGUGCCUUUUGGUUCGGAAUAACUCAGGGAAACUUGUGCUAAUACCGAAUGUGCCCUUCGGGGGAAAGAUUUAUCGCCAUUAGAGCGGCCCGCGUCUGAUUAGCUAGUUGGUGAGGUAACGGCUCACCAAGGCGACGAUCAGUAGCUGGUCUGAGAGGAUGACCAGCGACACUGGGACUGAGACACGGCCCAGACUCCUACGGGAGGCAGCAGUGGGGAAUCUUGCGCAAUGGGCGAAAGCCUGACGCAGCCAUGCCGCGUGAAUGAUGAAGGUCUUAGGAUUGUAAAAUUCUUUCACCGGGGAAGAUAAUGACGGUACCCGGAGAAGAAGCCCCGGCUAACUUCGUG
rnacentral:rRNA from 1 species